UGGGGAAUAUUGGACAAUGGGCGGAAGCCUGAUCCAGCCAUGCCGCGUGUGUGAAGAAGGCCUUUUGGUUGUAAAGCACUUUAAGCGAGGAGGAGGCUACUUGGAUUAAUACUCUAGGAUAGUGGACGUUACUCGCAGAAUAAGCACCGGCUAACUCUGUGCCAGCAGUCGCGGUAAUACAGAGGGUGCGAGCGUUAAUCGGAUUUACUGGGCGUAAAGCGUGCGUAGGCGGCUUCUUAAGUCGGAUGUGAAAUCCCUGAGCUUAACUUAGGAAUUGCAUUCGAUACUGGGAAGCUAGAGUAUGGGAGAGGAUGGUAGAAUUCCAGGUGUAGCGGUGAAAUGCGUAGAGAUCUGGAAGAAUACCGAUGGCGAAGGCAGCCAUCUGGCCUAAUACUGACGCUGAGGUACGAAAGCAUGGGGAGCAAACAGG
rnacentral:rRNA from 1 species